UCAUCUGGAAGGAGAGGUCGUCCAAAAGGCGGCGCGAGUAUGCUUCGCGUCUUCCGCUCCAGGAUGGGGCUGCGGCCGAUCAGGCUGUUGGCGGGGUAAUGGCCCACCAAACCUGUAACCGGUACGGGCUUUGAGAGAAGGAGCCCGGAGAUGGACACUGAGACAAGGGUCCAGGCCCUACGGGGCGCAUCAGGCGCGAGAACUUCGCAAUGCGCGAAAGCGUGACGAGGCUAGUCCGAGUGCCUUCCGCUGAGGAGGGCUUUUCUCGGCUGUAAAUAGGCCGGGGAAUAAGGGGAGGGCAAGUCUGGUGUCAGCCGCCGCGGUAAUACCAGCUCCUCGAGUGGUCGGGACGAUUAUUGGGCCUAAAGCACCCGUAGCCUGUUCAUUAAGUCCUCUGUUAAAUCCAACCGCUCAACGGUCGGCACGCAGAGGAUACUGCUGGACUAGGAGGCGGGAGAGGCGGACGGUACUCCGCGUGUAGGGGUAAAAUCCUUUGAUCCGCGGAAGACCACCAGUGGCGAAGGCGGUCCGCCAGAACGCGCUCGACGGUGAGGGGUGAAAGCUGGGGGAGCGAACCGGAUUAGAUACCCGGGUAGUCCCAGCCGUAAACGAUGCGAGCUAGAUGAUUCGAUUGCAGUUCGCAAUCGAAGUGUCGCAGGGAAGCCGUUAAGCUCGCCGCCUGGGGAGUACGGUCGCAAGGCUGAAUUGUCGGCGAUGUCUUUCGCCGGCACAGUUCACUUAAAGGAAUUGGCGGGGGAGCAC
rnacentral:rRNA from 1 species